UUUGUAUGUACUGUUACCAUUGGAAUGCAGUGGUGUACUUGUGUGUAGUGUUUGCGUUUGAAUGCAGUAAUGUGUGAUUGUCUGUAGUGUUGGCUUUUAAAUGCAGGUGUAUUUUUGUGUGUAGAGUUGGUGUUUGUAUAUAAUCUAAGCGUUUUAAUACAGGAAUGUGUUUGUAUGUAAUGUUUGUAUUUGCAUGCAGGGGGUUGUUUGGAUGUAGUGUUGUGUACAUUUGUGUGUAGUAUUGGUG